ACAGUCAUAUCAAAUUGAAACACCAGUCCCUGUAUGAUCACUGAAGUUAAGCAAUGUCAAGCCUGGGUUGUAACUAGAUGGGUGACUGCAUGGGAAUGGUGCUGUA